rnacentral:rRNA from 2 species
UAUAGUACCGAAGUUCCUGAUUCCACACUGCCAAGAAAAGCCUCUAGCGAGGCGGGAGGGGCCCGUACCGCAAACCGACACAGGUAGGCGAGGAGAGAAUCCUAAGGUGAUCGAGAGAACUCUCGUUAAGGAACUCGGCAAAAUGACCCCGUAACUUCGGGAGAAGGGGUGCUCUGGUAGGGUGUAUAGCCCGAGAGAGCCGCAGUGAAUAGGCCCAGGCGACUGUUUAGCAAAAACACAGGUCUCUGCGAAGCCGCAAGGCGAAGUAUAGGGGCUGACGCCUGCCCGGUGCUGGAAGGUUAAGAGGAGGGGUUAUCCUUUGGGAGAAGCUCUGAAUCGAAGCCCCAGUAAACGGCGGCCGUAACUAUAACGGUCCUAAGGUAGCGAAAUUCCUUGUCGGGUAAGUUCCGACCCGCACGAAAGGCGUAACGAUCUGGGCACUGUCUCAACGAGAGACUCGGUGAAAUUAUAGUACCUGUGAAGAUGCAGGUUACCCGCGACAGGACGGAAAGACCCCGUGGAGCUUUACUGUAGCCUGAUAUUGAAUUUUGGUACAGCUUGUACAGGAUAGGUAGGAGCCUGAGAAGCCGGAGCGCUAGCUUCGGUGGAGGCGUCGGUGGGAUACUACCCUGGCUGUAUUGAAAUUCUAACCCGCGGCCCUGAUCGGGCCGGGAGACAGUGUCAGGUGGGCAGUUUGACUGGGGCGGUCGCCUCCUAAAAUGUAACGGAGGCGCCCAAAGGUUCCCUCAGAAUGGU